rnacentral:rRNA from 1 species
AGUGAACGCUGGCGGUAGACCUAACACAUGCGAGUCGAACGGCAGCACAGUAAGAGCUUGCUCUUACGGGUGGCGAGUGGCGGACGGGUGAGGAAUACAUCGGAAUCUACUUUUUCGUGGGGGAUAACGUAGGGAAACUUACGCUAAUACCGCAUACGACCUACGGGUGAAAGCAGGGGAUCUUCGGACCUUGCGCGAUUGAAUGAGCCGAUGUCGGAUUAGCUAGUUGGCGGGGUAAAGGCCCACCAAGGCGACGAUCCGUAGCUGGUCUGAGAGGAUGAGCAGCCACACUGGAACUGAGACACGGUCCAGACUCCUACGGGAGGCAGCAGUGGGGAAUAUUGGACAAUGGGCGCAAGCCUGAUCCAGCCAUACCGCGUGGGUGAAGAAGGCCUUCGGGUUGUAAAGCCCUUUUGUUGGGAAAGAAAAGCAGCAGGUUAAUACCCCGCUGUUCUGACGGUACCCAAAGAAUAAGCACCGGCUAACUUCGUG